GUGUCUUUGUUUUGUGAUUUUAACCACAUAAAAGGUGAAAGAAAUAUGUCAAAAGUCACCAAGCCUUAGGUAAUCUGCCUGUGAGAGAAGAAAAAGAAAGCUUUCACAAGUUAACCUUGUGAUGUUCGCCCACACCAAAGAAAUACCCAACCAAAUGGCUUUGUCUUGAGAAAAACCGAACCUUUGAGAAAGAAAAAGAGAGAUUCGGCUAGGAAGCAAAGGAAGAAAGGAAGAAAGAAAUAAAGGAGAAAGGAAGAAAUGAAGAAGGGGAGAGAGGAGAAAGAAGAAAAGCGAAAGUGAAGGUUCGGCCAAGUGAACCCAAGACAAGGAAGGAAAAAAGAUUUGUCUUUUUGCUUGAAAUGCAUGCUUUGUAAAUCAAUUGUAAUGUGAGAUUUUGUUUGUGGUAGCAAGAAUCUACAAAGAUUCAAAGGACCUGAGGCAUGCAUGCUGGUAGAUCUUGGAAUGCAUGAUGAUUUUGAAGCUAAAUAAGCAAUGGCAAAGGUGGACAUAGAUGUGAGGAAGUUGUGAAUCAUAUUUGGAAAUACAAGCUUGAACCAAGAGAUAGUGAUUGACCUAGCGUGCAAUCAUCGGUGCUUAUGGUCCACUACGGAUAGGUAAAGGCAUCUCAUAGCACUUUAUUCUGAGUCACUCUACUAUUAAAGGUCUAGUCAUCUAUAGCUUGAAGUAUUUGUAAAUAGUGUCAAUAGAAAUAUGCAGUUAGAUACUACAAACUCUAAUGUAUUCUUACAGUUUGGUGAAUAAAGGAUAAGUUGGUUUAUUAUGAUUUCUGUACAAUUCUGAUUACAAGAGGUAUAUGAUUCAAGCAAUUUGAUGGAUUGAUGGCAUAAUGUCUAAAGUUUCAAUUAAGGCUUCUUCGGGAUUUAGCGAGUUCACUCGUAAGUCUCGAACGCUAGUAACGAUCAGGGUAAGAGGUUUUUACAUGUCAACAAUGGUGAUCGAGAAUGUGAGGAAUGGUAGAUUAUAUGUGGAACUCAAGCUAAAACCAAAAGGUAAACAUGCAAUACGAAUGCAUGGAUUUAUGUUGGCUUUAUUUAGUUGGUAGUAUGUGGAUUAUGUGUUAAAUGAUUAUGAGUAAGGUUGAUGAGAACCAUGAAAUUAGGCUACAGAUUUAUUGAUUGAUGUGCUGCCAUGCAUGUGAAAAAUUAAGUGUAUUGAGUUUAUAUGGUUGCUAGAAAGUGUAUAAGUAAAAAAAGUGUGCUGUGGUGGCAUGCUAGAGGAGGUAACGAAUAACUAACGAGUAGAAUUAGCUAGACACGCACCCGAAUUGAUAAUGAUGUAGUGUCCCGCUAUUAUAAAGUGAGUAAGGGAUGCCGAUUUUAAAAUCUUCGUACUAUAUAUCAUUUUACAUUAAUAAACGUUGUUGGUUUUCCUUAAGUGCAUUUAUGGAUAGAAUGAGCUGUUAGCCUUGAUAAGCCAAUUUUAAAACUGAUUUACAAUGAUUUAUAUAUUGUUAUUGUGGAAAGCGUGAGCUGGUAGAAACCAUAGGAAAUUGUGAGUGUAAGUGUUUUUAAAGUGAUUUGGAUAUAUCUAUAGAUAAGCUAUAUAUGUAAAGAGUUUUAGAAACCAAAAAGCAAACCUUUCACGAGGUUUGCAUCAAAAUCUAUGCCUUGUAUUUUUGUGUGAUAUGCAUAGCUAAAUGCAUUUGUUACAUGAUUUAAAAUGCAAGUUUGAGCACUAGUUUUAUUCUGAUCUUUGUACAAACUGUUUACAUCAUGCCAUUUAAUGUGAAAAGCAAUUUGAAGGAUUAUUGAACCUUGAUUUCAAAUGAUUUAAAGGAAAAGCCUCAAAAAACUUGAUUUGGUUGCUAAACCGGUUUUGACAAAUCGAGAGCGUUGAGUGUAGGCUGGCUGUCACUUCCGUUAAAUGUGAUCUUUCUGCACAAGUGAGCUCUAGCUAGAGAACUAUUGGGUGGCUGAUGAGCUAUUAGACAUGGCUGAAGCCAUAGUUUGUGAUAUAUGUGGCAAGGCCACGGGUUGUUAUAUGUGGCUAGGCCACUAGUGAUAUUCGUAGUUACGACCGCUUGAUUUCUCCGAUGUCAACCAACAUCGUCGAGACUACCAUGGUUGUAGGGAUCCAGUGGAGCAGAGCUCUCGGAUGUUAUUACCUUGAAGUGGGUCUAUAAGUGAUUAAGAUACUUACCUACUCGGGAGCCUUGUGAGUUUUUCGACUCGUACUCUUUUGCAUGGUGGAGAAAUAAGAUUUCUUUGGGGUUCCCUUUAUUUGAAUAAAAGCUUCCAAUGCUUACUUGACAAUCAUGAAAUGGUUUAUGUGGCUAUACACUUUGAUUUCUUUGCAUGCCACACAUUUUGGGAGUGCAUACUUUCAUACUGUUAUUCAUAUUUUGAUGGCAAGUGAUGUUUUUUAUGAUUGAACUCUAUUUUGCUACGCUUGUUUUCGACACCAUUUUGCCAAGUGAAAUAUUGCAUUAUGAUUUAUGUCAUUAUUUUUACAAGGCACAAAUAUCCUACAUAUGAUUUGGUUUCUUAAGAUUAUGAUUUGAUAUUCCGAUUUUAUUAUUCAACUUAUCUACUUUAAGCUUGUUUCCCAUCUAUGCCCUACUCACCGAGCCAAUGAUCACUGAGUUUGUGAGACUUACCCCCUUAUUCCCUGUGUAGAUAGUGAUUAGCCUAGCAUGCAUUCAUCGGCAUUUUCAAUCCACUGUGGAUAGGUAAAGUCAUCUCAUAACACUUUAUUCUGAGUCGCUUCACUACUGGAGGUCGAGUUGUCAUAGUGUAAUUUGUUACAAAAUUAGACAAUAAUGUCAAUAAGAAUGUACAUUUGGAGAUUAUACAUCAUGAUGUAUUAUUAUUUACGAUUAUAUGGAAUAAAGAUUUAGUCA